ACGGCCAUACCACAUUGUAAACACCGGUUCUCGUCCGAUCACCGAAGUUAAGCAAUGUCAGGCCUGGUCAGUACUUGGGAGGGUGACCACCUGGGAACACCGGGUACUGUAAGCU
rnacentral:rRNA from 1 species